ensembl:lncRNA
UUAAUGUUUACAUCAGUUAUCUGCUGCCACAUGGCUCAUCCCCUCUUAUUUUUACCUUACUUUCCUUUUAUCAUCCCCCUCUUGUCACCCACCCUCCCCGCCUCCCACCCCCUCUCACUCUGUCUUUCCGUAACCCCUCUGUUCCUCUUCUCUCCCGUUUCUGAGAGUCACUUGCCCACCCUAAAUCAGCAAGCUGCCGAGGAUUGUGGGAACCCAUGGAAUCGCCGUGACCAGGGAUGCAGGCAGGGAGCCACGGCAACGCUGGAAUGUGGGGCGUCUGAGGAGAUAAGAGCUGUGAGCCCAGCCAGGGAGAGGCGCGAAGUGGGGGAGGACGCAGAGGCAGAGUGAGGAGGAUACUGUCCGAAAUGCCAGCGGAAAAGCGACACCUCCGCUUGCUGUGUAUCUCAGAUAGACCGAGCGGGAGCAGGGGCUGAAAAGACAGCUUUAGCAACUGGG